UACGUAGGGGGCAAGCGUUGUCCGGAAUCAUUGGGCGUAAAGCGCGUGUAGGCGGUCCGGUAAGUCGGUUGUGAAAGUCCAGGGCUCAACCCUGGGAUGCCGACCGAUACUGUCGGACUAGAGUUCGGAAGAGGCGAGUGGAAUUCCCGGUGUAGCGGUGAAAUGCGCAGAUAUCGGGAGGAACACCAAUGGCGAAGGCAGCUCGCUGGGACGUUACUGACGCUGAGACGCGAAAGCGUGGGGAGCAAACAGG
rnacentral:rRNA from 1 species